GACGAACGCUGGCGGCGUGCUUAACACAUGCAAGUCGAACGGAAAGGCCCUGCUUUUGUGGGGUGCUCGAGUGGCGAACGGGUGAGUAACACGUGAGUAACCUGCCCUUGACUUUGGGAUAACUUCAGGAAACUGGGGCUAAUACCGGAUAGGAGCUCCUGCUGCAUGGUGGGGGUUGGAAAGUUUCGGCGGUUGGGGAUGGACUCGCGGCUUAUCAGCUUGUUGGUGGGGUAGUGGCUUACCAAGGCUUUGACGGGUAGCCGGCCUGAGAGGGUGACCGGCCAAAUUGGGACGGGGAUACGGCCCAGACCCCUACGGGGGGCAGGAGUGGGGAAAAUGGCAAAAUGGGGGGAAGCCUGAGGCAGCAACGCCGGGGGGGGGAUGACGGCCUUCGGGUUGUAAACCGCUUUCGCCUGGGACGAAGGGGGGGUGACGGUAAUGGGGAAAGAAGCACCGGCUAACUACGG
rnacentral:rRNA from 1 species